GACAGAGGUGCCAAGCGUUAGGCGGAAUCACUGGGCUUAAAGCGUGUGUAGGCGGGGCGUUAAGUACCUUGUGAAAUCCCACGGCUCAACCGUGGAACUGCUUGGUAUACUGGCGAUCUUGAGCCAGCUAGGGGCUACCGGAACAAACGGUGGAGCGGUGAAAUGCGUAGAUAUCGUUUGGAACGCCAAUGGUGAAAACAGGUAGCUGGGGCUGUGCUGACGCUGAGACACGAAAGCGUGGGGAGCAAACAGG
rnacentral:rRNA from 1 species